rnacentral:tRNA from 1 species
GCCUGUGUGGCUCAGUCUGUUGAGCAUCAGACUUCAGAGCAGGUCAUGAUCCCCGGUUCAUGGGUUUGAGCCCCAUAUCAGGCU